UACGUAGGGCGCAAGCGUUGUCCGGAAUUAUUGGGCGUAAAGAGCUCGUAGGCGGUCUGUUACGUCGGCUGUGAAAACCUGGGGCUCAACCCUAAGCCUGCGGUCGAUACGGGCAGGCUCGAGUUCGGUAGGGGAGACUGGAAUUCCUGGUGUAGCGGUGAAAUGCGCAGAUAUCAGGAGGAACACCGGUGGCGAAGGCGGGUCUCUGGGCCGAUACUGACGCUGAGGAGCGAAAGCGUGGGGAGCGAACAGG
rnacentral:rRNA from 1 species